rnacentral:rRNA from 1 species
AACGAACGCUGGCGGCGCGUCUUAAGCAUGCAAGUCGAACGGCAAGAGAGGAGCUUGCUUCUCUCCUAGAGUGGCGGACUGGUGAGGAACGCGUGGGUAAUCUACCCUUAAGAUGGGGAUAGCCGCUAGAAAUAGCGGGUAAUACCGAAUAGACUUAUAGCUGAGAAAGAAGUGAUAAGGAAAGGAAGCUAAGGCUUCGCUUAAGGAUGAGCCUGCGUCCCAUUAGCUAGUUGGUAAGGUAACGGCCUACCAAGGCGACGAUGGGUAUCCGGCCUGAGAGGGUGAACGGACACAUUGGGACUGAGAUACGGCCCAAACUCCUACGGGAGGCAGCAGCUAAGAAUAUUCCGCAAUGGACGGAAGUCUGACGGAGCGACACCGCGUGGAUGAAGAAGGCUGAAAAGUUGUAAAUUCUUUUGCUGAUGAAGAAUAAAGAUAAGAGGGAAUGCUUAUCAGAUGACGGUAGUCGGCGAAUAAGCCCCG